UUCGUGCGGCUGACUACCGGCGCCGUGUCUUUUCAUUCGUGUGAGCUAUCUUACUGUUGCCUUUCAAGUGCUUGCGUGAUGUUACCCGACCUACGGGUAUUGGUGCUUCAUACACAGUUGCCUCGCGGUGGACGCCUUUGGGUGUUCUGCUGCGGCCAUAUGGCGCUUGCGGCGUUGCCUCUUGGUGCUGGCAUGUUUCGUGCCUGGUGCUAUCAAGGCAUCCUCGCUCCCGCUGUUGGUUUCGGAUGUUGCUCAUGAUAAAGGCUCGUGGCCCUUUUGGUUGCCUCGACCUGACCCUAAUAAUGCUCUCCGAAUUUGAGAACAACCGGAACAUGUGUUGCCUCUACCUCUCCACAGUUAGUGGUAGGAUUACGCAACAUACUGUGCCGAUCCUCAUACUAGUAGGACGAGCUAGGCCCGCUCAAUUGCGACAACUGGCCCGGCUGUUGCCUCUGCCUUGCCACGCAAGUGGACGGGUGGACGACUACCGACGCUGGA
rnacentral:misc_RNA from 2 species